GAAAAAUUAUCUCUAUUCUACACUGACAAGUAGACAUUCCAUAUUCCAUUCCUUAUAAUUGGUGCUACAAUUGUUUUACUGGGGGUGACAAUAUGUCAAAAGUACUUAUUGAAAAGAGUUUUCUACGGAUUUACCUCCAACAGCCUGGUAAUCUGAAAUUAUCCGGAAUAAUCACCCACAAUACUGAAGAUGUGAUCACACUUACCUUUGAGAUGUUUCAGACAGAAUUUUAGUAUUUUGCCAUUACAUCUUGUAGAGAAUAUUUUGGUGUCAGUUUUUUCAUUUUUACAUCUAUUUCUUGCUGAACAAUUACUGACACAACAACGACUGCCUCCACUAUAUUGAUAUCUACCCAUAUUUCCUGGAUUUUAUCUUCAGUUCAAUUUUUC